rnacentral:tRNA from 1 species
GCCGGGAUGAUGGAAUGGUAGACAUAGAGGACUUAAAAUCCUCGGAGCACCACGCUCGUAUGGGUUCGAGUCCCAUUCCCGGCA